rnacentral:rRNA from 1 species
GACGUAGGGCGCGAGCGUUGUCCGGAUUAUUGGGCGUAAAGAGCUCGUAGGCGGCUUGUCGCGUCGACUGGUGAAAACACCGGGCUUAACUCGGUGCUUGCUUUCGAUACGGGCAGACUAGAGGUAUGCAGGGGAGAACGGAAUUCCUGGUGUAGCGGUGAAAUGCGCAGAUAUCAGGAGGAACACCGGUGGCGAAGGCGGUUCUCUGGGCAUUACCUGACGCUGAGGAGCGAAAGUGUGGGGAGCGAACAGG